UUUGUGCACUUUCCCAAAUCCUUUCUGAUCAACUCCAUUCAUUGCACAGAGCAAAAAUGUUUCUGUGGCUAAACUUGGUGUCCUUACUGGCAGUCCUCCAUGGUGUCCAGUCUCAAGCCCAGUUGGUGGAGUCUGGAGGGGGUGUGAGAAGACCUGGAGAGUCCCUCCGUCUCUCCUGCCAAGCCUCUGGAUUCACCUUCAGCAACUAUUACAUGGCCUGGAUGAGACAGGCUCCUGGGAAAGGCCUGGAAUGGGUGGCAUAUAUAGGAACAUCUUCUUCUCCGAUUCUCUACUCAGAAAAAGUGAAGGGACGCUUCACCAUCUCGAGGGAUGAUUCCCGCAGCCAGCUGCAUUUGCAAAUGAACAAUCUGAAAUCGGAGGACACGGGAGUUUAUUACUGUGCAGGAGACACAGUGAGAGGAAGUGAAUCUGAUGCCAAACAAAAACCUGCUCAUCAGAGCAGCUGUAGAAAUUAA